rnacentral:lncRNA from 1 species
GCGGGGGUGGUGGGGAGGACAGAGUUUCACUCUUGUUGUCCAGGCUGGAGUGUAAUCUUGGCUCACCACAACCUCUGCCUCCCGGGUUCAAGCGAUUCUCACGCCUCAGUUUCCUGAGUAGCUGGGAUUACAGGCGUGCACCACCAUGCCCGUCUACUUUUGUAUUUUUUUAGUAGACGGGGUUUCUCCAUGUUGGUCAGGCUGGUCUUGAACUCCCAGCCUCAGGUGAUCCACCCGCCUCAGCCUCCCAAAGUGAUGAGAUUACAGGUGUGAGCCACGGCAUCCAGCUAAUUCUGUGGUGUUUUUGUUUGUUUGUUCUGUUUUUUGAGACAGAGUCUCACUCCGUCACCCAGGCUGGAAUGCAGUGGCACAAUCUCAACUCAGUGCAACCUCCGCCUUCAGCGUUCAAGCAAUUCUCAUGCCUCAGCCUCCCAAGUAGCUGGAAUUACAGGUGGACGCCACCACACCUGGCUAAUUUCUGUAUUUUUAGUAGCAACAGAGUUGUUGGCCAGGCUAUUCUCAAACUCCUGACCUCAAGUGAUCUGCCCACCUCGGCCUCCCAAAGUGCUGGGAUUACAGACAUGAGCCACCGUGCCUGGCCAAUUUUGGUUUUUAAAUCCCUAAACAGCACACAAUCAAGAACUGAAACUUUUAACUGGCACAUGAUGUCGAGGAAGAACCCUUGCAAACUUCAAGGUGUGCAAUAUGGGAUCAAUCUCCCAUUUAAGAACCAGCCAGGCAAGAUGGGAGUAUGGAUUGCUGGGCAUUAAGUUAUAAGAAAAAAAAAAUGACCUGUUUCUAGAAUGAUGUUGGAAUAGGUUCUUCCUUGGGACAAUAGAAAGGGAUGAAAAAGACCCCACCUACUAGACUACCACAACUUUGCACUGUACUUACAGAAAAACCCUCAUAAAGGAAACGAAGGGCAAAAGCUUACUUAUUAGCUAGAGAAAACAAGCCAAAUGUCUAGACCUUUUCAGCAACAUUUACGGAGGCUUUUAUAGGGCACAGGUUUUGAGUGCAGAUGACCUAGGGUUCUAUUUACCACUGGAUCUUAUGGGCACAUGACCAUGGAUAAGUUACUAGACUCUUUGAAUUUGUUUUCUCAUCAGUAAAGUAGGGAUAAAAACCUCAUAUUUUGCGAGGCUGCUGUAAGAAGCAAAUGAGAAGAUAAAAAUAAGCAAGGCACUCGGCAGGCUCUGGCACACAGAGCUCUGUAAAGUAAUGUUCUAGAACUCUGGGCUUCCACUUCUCUGUGGCUAGUUUACCUGCCUUUGCUUCAAGCAGUCCUAUAAAACCCUGCUUCUCCUUAGCCAUGCCUGAUAGGAGGACACUCCAGGGAGUGAUGGGAACCUGCUUUUUCAUUGUUAGAAUUAGUGUAAGAGCUGCGCUUUAUGAUCUUUGGACAGUACUCCAGUGGGACUGUGUCAGUAAAUUAGAAGAAUGUAAAAUGCUUUGCGUUCCGUAUCUCCCAAAACUAAUCUUAUGGCAAGAGGAGCUUAUGAACUACAUUCAUUAAACAUCAACCCUCAAAAAACAGGCAUAGCCACUACUUUCAGUCAGCAUUUUUCAAAUAAAAUAGGAGAUAAUAUUCUUUUAAAUAUCUAAAGCCAAAGUGUGAUACUUUUCAUCAUCAGAAUUUUAUGUUGCUGUUGUGAAUUUGUCUUUUAAAACAAAAAAACCCGUAAGGAAAAAGUGUCCAGUAUCUAAGACAACAUGCUUAGAAGCUGUGAGUCAGGACCCAGUUUCAUAAUAAGAGGUAGCAUCAUUGUCACGUCACUGAGCUUGUUGGGUACCUCUCCAACUCUGACUGAGGCACACACAUGUGCAUGGCCCUUCUAAAAUGUUACUGGCAGGCAGUAAAAGCGGAUGUCUGAGAACAGACUGUUUUUUAGGUGCCCAGUAAGCAUCAAAUCUUGAGGCAUUUGGUCUCUCUUCUGGUGAAAGGGGACAAAAGCAAAAAAUAACACUGAAGUUUGGGCUUCAGUUCAAAAAAUUCUUUAACUCGGGUGCAUAAAAGAGUUCCAAGAAUACUGACAGUUAUCAGAAAGGAAAAUCCUAAUUAAAAUUAACUAACUGGGCUGGGUGCAGUGACUCACACCUGUAAUCCCACACUUUGGGAGGCUGAAGCAAGUGGAUCACCUGAGGUCAGGAGUUCAAGUGAUCCACACGCCGCAGCCUCCCAAAGUGCUGGGAUUACAGGCAUGAGCCUGGCCCAGAAUUUUUUUUAAAAAGUGAGAAUCAACAAUGAAACAGGAACGUCUCCAGGCAUUUGGCGUGUGUCAGGAAUUAGGGUUUCAGAAAGGAUACCCAAAUGUUAGUUUCCACAGGAAAGGCUCAUUCAAAGAUGGAUGGAUAGAACUCAGAAACAAAUCCUUAUGGAGAGGAGUGUUUUACCUAAAACCAGAAAUAUGGAUCUAAAAUUUUAACCUUUGGGGUAAGUUUUGGCUUAGGAGGUCUUCCCCGCACCCGUGCAGGGGGGAGCCGGAUAUUCUGAAAAGACUAGAUUUGACAAGGGGUGUGCAAAGCACAACUUUAACAGACACAAUGAUGGGGUCUGACUGCAAACACAAAAUCGACAGAAUCACAUGCUCUUGUCGUCAGUUACUCUUAGCCCAAAAACCGUUUACUUCUUCCUACUAAGCCUUCUCUGAUGACACCCCCGUGAAGUGCUCUGUUAGUGGCUAGACCGUGACCUCCUUGAGCCAUCCAGAGCUUGGCACUCAGUAAUGUCAGAAUGAAGGGCACCAGCCUUUCCCGAACUUGCAGAUCCUACAAAUCACCCGAGGGAGUGGUUAAAAUGAGAUUCCUGGACCACACCCAGACCCACUCAAUCAAUCCUUCUGGACAAAGGCCUAGCUGUCUGUUCUAGUAACAAGCAUCCUUCCGAUCUGGAUACUUAAUUAUAUCAACUCAACACGCUGGGGGUUCGGACAAGUUGCAGGUUCGAAAUUACAAUCGUGAGCUCAGGUACCCCCCGACUCCAAGGCUUUCGUGCUUUGCUGCCAGGAACCCCCAGGGACCAAAACGUCACGGGGACUGAGGCCCAAGGUCACAACGAUUGGCUACUGGUAGGACCGGGUCUCAGAACCAGGUCUCCCCGAUCCCAAGCUCGGAGCCGUUUCUCCUCAGCGUGGUGUCCCCGGGGCCUCAGAGUAGGGCCGGCUGCGCAAGGGACGAGGCAGCCGGGGAACGGCAGAAAUUCCCAGUCAGGACCCCAGGGAGGUUAGGGCCGGCCCUGGCCCCUCACACCGACUUCUCAGGAAUAAACCAGCCGGGGCUUUCAGCGGGGCGGCCGUGGCUGCGUUCCCAUCGAGGAACGGGGUGGGAAGAGAAAAUGAGAGGAUGUGGGAACGAGGGUGGGCCGGGAGGGGACAGUUGAGGGAGCUCUGGCGCUCAGCUGGCCCCCACCACUCUCACCUGCCGCCUGGGCUCGCU